GUGUUUUUCUCUACCGAGAACAUUCAUGCGCAUCCCUAUAUAAAUGUACUUCCACAGUAUAUCAGUAAAGUGUUCAUUUUGUAUCGUUGAACUGUAAGUCGCUGAAAUUAUGUCGAUUAUUCCAUUGUUAUGUCUUGUAUUGGUUGCUUGUGCUUCCGCGCAAAAUCAUGACAACUUCGACGAUGAAACAAAUGAUCUGGUCAAGAGAGGAAGAUGGACGCCAACUUUUCAGCACACAGGAGGUUUAUCUGGAAACGUUGGAGCAAAUUACAAAUCUAAUAAAGGUCAUAAUAUCGGUGGAUACGUUCAUGGUAACUUAAACGGCCGAGGCCGGGUAAUAGACGGCGCUGGUCUUCGCGGUAGUUAUAAUCUUGGAAACGGAAUGCGUAUUGGUGGACAUAUUCAUCAUAAUUUUGGGGGAGGAACAGGAGGUGGAAUUUCAUUCUCGAAGUCCUGGGGUAAAAAGAGAUCCUCAACUGUCUGCAUGUCAAGAUGUGCCUAUGCUUGCAGAAAUUCAACGGUUAGAUGUAUGAAGAACUGUCUUGUGAAUAUGUGCUGAUAUGAUCUCUAGUGCUGUGUUAUGAAAUAAAGAGUAACUGUAUCCAUCA